GACGAACGCUGGCGGCGUGCUUAACACAUGCAAGUCGAACGGAAAGGCCCUGCUUUUGUGGGGUGCUCGAGUGGCGAACGGGUGAGUAACACGUGAGUAACCUGCCCUUGACUUUGGGAUAACUUCAGGAAACUGGGGCUAAUACCGGAUAGGAGCUCCUGCUGCAUGGUGGGGGUUGGAAAGUUUCGGCGGUUGGGGAUGGACUCGCGGCUUAUCAGCUUGUUGGUGGGGUAGUGGCUUACCAAGGCUUUGACGGGUAGCCGGCCUGAGAGGGUGACCGGCGACCUUGGGACUGAGAUACGGCCCAGACUCCUACGGGAGGCAGCAGUGGGGAAUAUUGCACAAUGGGCGGAAGCCUGAUGCAGCAGCGCCGCGUGCGGGAUGACGGCCUUCGGGUUGUAAACCGCUUUCGCCUGUGACGAAGCGUGAGUGACGGUAAUGGGUAAAGAAGCACCGGCUAACUACGUG
rnacentral:rRNA from 1 species